AGCUCUCUCUCCUGAAGUAUUCAUCGAUGGACCUUGAACCCACCUGGCUGGCCAGGCUCAUGUCACUGCCUCUGCCACUGCUACCAACUCUGCUACUAUUGCUGUUGUUGCCAUGGAAACUGACAAGAGACCCGGAACCUCUACUACCUGCCCUGCUCAGGCCACCCAAACUUCCUUGCUGCUCUUCUAAGUGCUGGAUACUUAUUUGCAUACUGAUGGAUGCUGACUGGGGCUGUGUCUGAAGGACAGAUGAUCAGGACUGCAGUCAUGAAGACUCACCACACCGACGGAUCUUCAUGAGGACAUUCAGACUGAUAGGAUUUGGUCCUGGAAUUUGUGCCUGUAUUUUGCCCUGGAUUGUUUUCCUUGAAUUUUUCGUCUGACACUGAAGGACCCUAGGACCUUUCGCCAGCCUUACACCAGCCGCCUCAGGUCAAGACUAGGCCAAGUACCUGCUUCCCACCAUGGGUCAAGGCUAGGCCAAGUUCCAUUCUCCACCCACAGUUGUCUUGAGGAGUAGGAACACUCUUGAAAAACUGCAAAAUGAACUAACUGAUAGUCAUCUGACCCUCUGAUCCCAGAUAGAGUUCGAAUGCAUGCCAUAUGCUAGCUAGCCAGUAGAUUCAAUAAGUUUAAACUGUAACCUUGCUGAUGUAACCUGUACCCCUAAAAAUAUAAGAACUGUUUGUUAUAGCCAUUCAGGGUCACCUUCUAGUCACUCAUCAGGAGGGGCUGAUUGAGGGUCGACCCUGAUGCGCCAGAAAAAUAAACCUCUGCAUUUGCAUCGAA